AUGAAGAAUGGAGGACAUUCCGUGGGACCGGCGGCAGCAGUGUUUGAUGACUGUUAUUUUAUAGCUUGUGAUUUUCCUUUUAUUAGGUUUGAACAUUGUAAUAGACAAGCAAAUAAGGUGGCUCACGAACUUGCUAGGCUAGCUAAAUUUUCAGUCAUGAAGGACUGGUUUGAGGAGCCAAUGAGGGACAUUGUACGUUUACUGAUUGGCGAUGUAACAAUUAUCUCUAAUCAAUAA
rnacentral:rRNA from 1 species